CCUUUUUCUAUUUCAGCAAAUCCCCCCUUUUUACUUUCCCGCACUGCCUAGUGAUCAUAAUAAGAUCGAGUCAAAUUUUUGGCCUAUUCCUUGUGGGAUUGACCCCAACCUAGUUGGAUUGCUAUACUUGACAGCGACUACUUCAUCCUUCAAUUUGUGGUGUAUUUUGAGUGUUACCAAAUUUUGGUGCCGUUGCCGGGAAAUAUGGUCUCAAAAUUCUUGAUUAA
rnacentral:lncRNA from 1 species